CAGUCGCCGCGGGAAUACGUAGGGUGCAAGCGUUAAUCGGAAUUACUGGGCGUAAAGCGUGCGCAGGCGGUUAUAUAAGACAGAUGUGAAAUCCCCGGGCUCAACCUGGGAACUGCAUUUGUGACUGUAUAGCUAGAGUACGGCAGAGGGGGAUGGAAUUCCGCGUGUAGCAGUGAAAUGCGUAGAUAUGCGGAGGAACACCGAUGGCGAAGGCAAUCCCCUGGGCCUGUACUGACGAUCAUGCACGAAAGCGUGGGGAGCAAACAGGAUUAGAUACCCGCGUAGUCCCUGUCUCUUAUAC
rnacentral:rRNA from 1 species